AAGCGCUUGUAGCCAGACUUGCUCGCGGCGGCUUCGCCGGGUGUCCCACCCGGUUUACUCCGCCGCGUUCGGGCCAGCAUCAGUUUGGGCGGUCGGAAAAAGGCUUCGGGAAUGUAGUUCCCCUCGGGGAGUGUUAUAGCCCGUCGUGAAAUACGGCCAGUCCGGACUGAGGUCAGCGCUUUUGCGAGGAUGCUGGCGUAAUGGCUAUAAGCGG
rnacentral:rRNA from 1 species